CAUGGUCUUUUGUUUAUAUAAAAGAUCUGACCUGCCCAAUGAUAAAUUUUAAUGGCUGCAGUAUUUUGACUGUACAAAGGUAGCAUAAUCAUUUGUCUUUUAAUUGAAGUCUGGAAUGAAUGGUUUGAUGAAAAAUUUACUUUCUUUAUUUUAAAUAUAAAAUUUAAUUUUUAAAUCAGAAAGUUUAAAUAUUAAUAUAGGACGAGAAGACCCUAUAGAACUUUAUUUAUAUAGAAUACUUAUUAAUUUGUUAAUUAUGAAUAUAUAUUUUUAUAUAAAUUAUAUUGGGGUGAUAAAAAAAACACUAUAACUUUUUUUAUUUUUUUCAUUUAUGUAUGAGUUUUUGAUCCUUUAUUAUGGAUUAAAAGAAUAAGUUACCUUAGGGAUAACAGCGUUAUUAUUUUAGAGAGUUCAUAUUGAUGAAAUAGUUUGCGACCUCGAUGUUGGAUUAAAAUUAGCUUCAGGGAGUAGAAGAUUGGUGGCUAAGUCUGUUCGACUUUUAAAUUUUUACAUGAUCU
rnacentral:rRNA from 1 species